AAAAACGUAAUAAAGAAGUACCUCAAACGUGAUGAUGAAGAUUCAUUUAAGGUUUAAAAUAUAGAUGAUGUUCGUGUUUUGAUGAGAGUGACGAUGAAAAUCGUCAACAGUUGGAAGAGUUUUGAUGAGAGAGUGACGAUAAAAAUCGCCUAGGUUUCUGCGCAGCGAAUGACGAUGAAGUUAAAGCGUUGAUAGAUAAACGAAAA
rnacentral:lncRNA from 1 species